rnacentral:rRNA from 1 species
GAUGAACGCUGGCGGCGUGCCUAAUACAUGCAAGUCGAGCGAACAGAUGAGGAGCUUGCUCCUCUGACGUUAGCGGCGGACGGGUGAGUAACACGUGGAUAACCUACCUAUAAGACUGGGAUAACUUCGGGAAACCGGAGCUAAUACCGGAUAAUAUAUUGAACCGCAUGGUUCAAUAGUGAAAGACGGUUUUGCUGUCACUUAUAGAUGGAUCCGCGCCGCAUUAGCUAGUUGGUAAGGUAACGGCUUACCAAGGCGACGAUGCAUAGCCGACCUGAGAGGGUGAUUCGGCACACUGGAACUGAGAAACGGUCCAGACUCCUACGGGAGGCAGCAGUAGGGAAUCAUCCGAAAUGGGCGAAAGCCUGACGGAGCAACGCCGCGUGAGUGAUGAAGGUCUUCGGAUCGUAAAACUCUGUUAUUAGGGAAGAACAAAUGUGUAAGUAACUAUGCACGUCUUGACGGUACCUAAUCAGAAAGCCACGGCUAACUACGUG